UGGGGAAUAUUGCACAAUGGGCGAAAGCCUGAUGCAGCAACGCCGCGUGAGUGAUGAAGGUCUUCGGAUUGUAAAGCUCUGUCUUUUGGGACGAUAAUGACGGUACCAAAGGAGGAAGCCACGGCUAACUACGUGCCAGCAGCCGCGGUAAUACGUAGGUGGCGAGCGUUGUCCGGAUUUACUGGGCGUAAAGGGUGCGUAGGCGGAUGUUUAAGUGAGAUGUGAAAUACCCGGGCUUAACUUGGGUGCUACAUUUCAAACUGGAUAUCUAGAGUGCAGGAGAGGAGAAUGGAAUUCCUAGUGUAGCGGUGAAAUGCGUAGAGAUUAGGAAGAACACCAGUGGCGAAGGCGAUUCUCUGGACUGUAACUGACGCUGAGGCACGAAAGCGUGGGUAGCAAACAGGAUUAGAUACCCUGGUAGUCCACGCCGUAAACGAUGAGUACUAGGUGUAGGAGGUAUCGACCCCUUCUGUGCCGCAGUAAACACAUUAAGUACUCCGCCUGGGAAGUACGAUCGCAAGAUUAAAAC
rnacentral:rRNA from 1 species